GUGGUUUUGGUUCAGUUCUCCACAUCAAUCUGUGAUUUUAUUUUUUUUAAGUCCAGCGAUUUUCUCUUAAUAUGCCCUUUUUUGUAUGCAUCAUGUACCCCUAAUGUACAUACAGUAUUUUUCAUUAAUAUAUGCAUCUAUAUGUACGCAUCACCACAGUGUGUUCUCUUUUGGGCCUUCUCCAACUGGCCCAGGGGGCGUGGCCCAGGCCCUCUCUCCCAGCUAUAAAGGGACUCCUGCUGCGGGGAGGCCUCGGACCAUCGGCUGGGUGAGGACUGCAGGGCCUGCUCCCUUCCAGGGCCUUCUCCAACUGGCCCAGGGGGCGUGGCCCAGGCCCUCUCUCCCAGCUAUAAAGGGACUCCUGCUGCGGUGAGGCCUCGGACCAUCAGCUGGGUGAGGACUGCAGGGCCUGCUCCCUUCCAGGGCCUUCUCCAACUGGCCCAGGGGGCGUGGCCCAGGCCCUCUCUCCCAGCUAUAAAGGGACUCCUGCUGCGGUGAGGCCUCGGACCAUCAGCUGGGUGAGGACUGCGGGGCCUGCUCCCUCCAGGGCCUUCUCCAACUGGCCCAGGGGGCGUGGCCCAGGCCCUCUCUCCCAGCUAUAAAGGGACUCCUGCUGCGGUGAGGCCUCGGACCAUCGGCUGGGUGAGGACUGCAGGGCCUGCUCCCUUCCAGGGCCUUCUCCAACUGGCCCAGGGGGCGUGGCCCAGGCCCUCUCUCCCAGCUAUAAAGGGACUCCUGCUGCAGUGAGGCCUCGGACCAUCGGCUGUGGGGAAGACUGCAGGGCCUGCUCCCUUCCAGGGCCUUCUCCAACUGGCCCAGGGGGCGUGGCCCAGGCCCUCUCUCCCAGCUAUAAAGGGACUCCUGCUGCAGUGAGGCCUCGGACCAUCGGCUGUGGGGAGGACUGCAGGGCCUGCUCCCUUCCAAGGCCUUUUCCAACUGGCCCAGGGGGCGUGGCCCAGGCCCUUAUUUGGAACAAACUUUUGGGGAAGCUGGGAAGUGUUCUGCAAUUGCUUCCCUGUUCCAAGUGGUUAAUGUGUUUUAAAAUGUCCUCAAGCAGUCGGUGGCAAUUUAAAUUUGUAUUUCUUUUUUUCCUUUUUUCCUUUGUUGGGGGUGGGUGGGUGGGAUGGAUAUUUGGUUGGGGAUUAAUUUUAGUAUAAUUGUUCUGUUUUUGUUUUCUGUUGUUUUAUUGGUUCUGUAUAGUUUGUGUUUUGUUUUUAAGGGGCGGGAUCAGGGCUGCCUGGGAGUGGGGCCCCAGCCAACACGAUGGCUGGGACAAGUUCCACAGGGGGGGAAGCACUGGGACAUCCGAUCUCGGUGAUCAUGGGCAGGAGGAGGAGUUACGCUAAGACCAGACCAUGUCAUUACCGAGGAGGCAGGUUUAGUCGUUGUUUGAAGACUAUCCCUGCCUCCGGGUCUGGCCUUGACCGGAUGGAUACUGGAAUCAACAGGGGAAACCCACAUGACCUGAAGGUGUUGCUGUGUAAUGCCAGGUCAAUGAUGAAUAAAACCACUGCCAUCCACGACCUGAUUGUGGAUGGAGGAUUUGACCUGGCAUGUGUGACAGAGACCUGGUUGGAGGAAGCAGAUGGGCCUGUCCUUGCUGCCGCUUGCCCACCAGGUUUCUCUUACGCACAGCAACCCAGGUCAUGUGGGCGGGGAGGGGGGGUUGCAGUGAUUUUUAGGAAGUCAUUAGUUUGCAUCAGGCGUCCUACUGGGAAGACCCAGUUUUCUGAGUGCAUGUUCUGGAAGUUGGGCAAUAGGGGCAGUACAGGAUUCCUUUUGGUGUACCGACCUCCCCGCUGCACCAAGGAUUCCCUGUCCGAGCUGCUUCAGGUCGUGGCGGAUGUUCUCCUGGAGACACCUAGUUUGGUUGUCCUAGGGGAUUUUAACAUCCACGCCGACACGACCUUACAAGGGGCCGCUCGGGACUUCGUGGAAAGCAUGGCCUCCAUGGGGCUGUCCCUGAAUAAGUUGGGCCCAACUCAUAGUCAUGGACAUGCCUUAGACCUGGUAUUCACCUCUAGUGAUGUGGGUGAUCUGACACUAAGUAAAAGUGAAACCAAAGAAGUGCCAUGGUCAGAUCACUUCCUGGUGCAACUGGACUUCUCCGCGACCCUUCCCCUCUGCAGGGAGGUGGGACCAAUUCGGAUGGUCCGCCCCGCCACUUAAUGGAUCCAAAUGGUUUCCAGAGAGUGGUAGGGGAUGCUUUAUCCCAUGUUGAUGGCCUUUCAGCUGAUUCCCUGGUGGCCCGCUGGAAUGCGGAGUUAACCAGGGCUAUCGACUGUCUGGCUCCGAGCGCCCUCUCCGAUUGCAUGGAGCCCGGACAGCCCCGUGGUUUUCUUCGGAGCUGAGGGCGAUGAAACAAUCGCUGAGACGGCUAGAGCGUCGGUGGCAGAAAACUCACUCCGAAUCUGACCGGACACAGGUUAGAGCUCAACGUCGAGCCUACCAAGUGGCGAUAGCGACGGCGAAGAAGACUUUCUUCACCGCCUCUAUUGCAUCUGCAGAAAAUAGUAGCAGGAGACUCUUUCAGGUGGUCCGCAAUUUAAUGGAACCACCUUUACCACCGGGGCCUUGUAAAGACCCCAAGAUCUCCUGCAACGAUUUUGCAAAGUUUUUUGCAGAUAAAAUCACUCAUAUUCGGAAGGAGCUAGACACCACCGUGGGAGCAGGGCUGGGGCGGGAGAGUGCUAGAGCCCUGUCUGGUCAAGUUGCAUGGAAUCAAUUUCAAUCCGUUACCCCCGAGGAUGUGGACAGGCUGCUUGGACGCGUGAAACCAACCACCUGUCUCCUUGAUCCUUGCCCAUCCUGGCUAAUAAAAGCAAGCCGGGAAGGGCUGGGCGAUGGGCUCUGAGGGGUGGUGAAUGCUUCCCUCUGUGAGGGAACAUUCCCAGAUCCACUGAAAGAGGCGGUCAUUAAACCGCUUCUUAAAAAACCAUCUUUAGACCCGGCCAGUAUGGCCAACUAUCGCCCAGUCUCAAAUCUUCCAUUCUUGGGCAAGGUUAUUGAGCGUGUGGUUGCUGAACAACUCCAGGCACGCCUGGAGGAUGCGGACCAUUUGGAUCCCUUCCAAUCAGGGUUCAGGCCUCAUCAUGGGACUGAAACUGCCUUGGUCGCACUGGUUGAUGAUCUCCGGCGAGCUAGGGACAAAGGUGAGAGUUGUUUCCUAGUUCUGCUGGAUCUCUCAGCGGCCAUUGAUACAAUCGACCAUAACAUCCUUCUGGACCGUCUAGAGGGGUUGGGAGCUGGGGGCACUGUUAUACAGUGGUUUCGCUCCUUCCUCCUGGGCCGUGUUCAGAAAGUGGUGGUGGGGGAUGAGUGUUCAGACCCUUGGGCCCUCACUUGUGGGGUGCCUCAGGGUUCCGUCCUCUCCCCCAUGCUUUUUAACAUCUAUAUGAAGCCGCUGGGAGAAAUCAUCAGGGGGUUGGACUGGGUGUCCAUCAAUAUGCAGAUGAUACCCAGCUCUACCUCUCUUUCAAAUCAGAACCAGUGAAGGCGGUGAAGGUCCUGUGUGAGUGCCUGGAGGCGGUUGGAGGAUGGAUGGCGGCUAAUGGAUUGAAGUUGAAUCCUGACAAGACAGAAGUACUGUUUUUGGGGGACAGGGGCGGGCUGGUGUGGAGGACUCCCUGGUCCUGAAUAGGGUAACUGUGCCCCUGAAGGACCAGGUGCGUAGCCUGGGAGUCAUUUUGGACUCACAGCUGUCCAUGGAGGCGCAGGUCAAUUCUGUAUCCAGGGCAGCUGUCUACCAACUCCACCUGGUACGCAGGCUGAGACCCUACCUGCCCGCGGACUGUCUCGCCAGAGUGGUGCAUGCUCUAGUUAUCUCCCGCUUGGACUACUGCAAUGCGCUCUACGUGGGGCUACCUUUGAAGGUGACUCGGAAACUACAGCUAAUCCAGAAUGCGGCAGCUAGACUGGUGACUGGGGGCGGCCGCCGAGACCACAUAACACCGGUCUUGAAAGACCUACAUUGGCUCCCAGUACGUUUCCGAGCACAAUUCAAAGUGCUGGUGUUGACCUUUAAAGCCCUAAACGGCCUCGGCCCAGUAUACCUGAAGGAGCGUCUCCACCCCCAUCGUUCUGCCCGGACGCUGAGGUCCAGCGCCGAGGGCCUUCUGGCGGUUCCCUCAUUGCGAGAAGCAAAGCUACAGGGAACCAGGCAGAGGGCCUUUUCAGUAGUGGCGCCCGCCCUGUGGAACGCCCUCCCAUCAGAUGUCAAAACGAUAAACAACUACCUGACAUUCAGAAGACAUCUUAAGGCAGCCCUGUUCAGGGAAGUUUUUAAUGUAUGAUAUUUUAGUGUUUUUGGUUUCUAUGGAAGCCGCCCAGAGUGGCUGGGGAAACCCAGCCAGAUGGGCGGGGUACAAAUAAUAAAUUAUUAUUAUUAUUAUUAUUAUUAUUUUGUACACAUUACCUGGCUGAAGAACUGCAUUGCAAAAUUCAGAGAAUGCGAAUUUUAAAAGGUGGUGUUACUAUUGAAUUAGGUAAGUUUGCCUUUAAAUUUGAACUGAAUAGAAUUUCUCCUCCAUCCAAACAUCUACAUCACCAAGCUGAAUUCAGCGUAAUACAGACCAUUGCUCAGCCACAAAAGUUACUGGGUGAAUUUGUGUCAGUCAGUAACUCUCGGCUUGGCCUACACGCAGCUUUGUUGUGUGGAUAGGCCAAGCUCUUGAGGUAAAAUAAAUGCCAAAAGCAGUGCUGGUUUUUUCUAGAAAAAGAAGUGCCAGAGCUGACCAUGAACUUCUCCCUUAUUCUCUUAGAAUGGCAAUGGCGCCCACCUGAAUGUGCCGGAACUGAGCUCCGCUGAAAAAAAAUAACCUUGGUCAUAAAUUACUGUAUUUCAUCAAAUAGCGGGCAUUCAGUGUUCCCAAAACUACCACUCCAGUUUUCUGGGAGUGAUGCAUAAAGGGAUUGAGCAUUAAAAGUGAACUGGUGAGACAACAAUAUACCGUAGAUAUACCCGCAGUUUCAUCUUCUCCAGCUGCUCCUUCGGUUUCAGUUGAAAAGUUGGGGCAUUUCCCACAAUCAGAGGAGAGGGCCCUGUCCUGGUGCAAAUCUUCUUGAAGAAGAACAGGAAGAAGGUAGCAGCAGGUGGAAAGUAGCUCCAUUUCCCUCUUACAUUUUGGCCUAGACUGCCUUCUGGCCGGGUUGCCAUAUGUGCCUCUAAAUAAAGGAGAAGCUGAUUGUGUGAAGCAGCUCAUCACUGCCCGGAUGAUUAUAUCCAUACCUCACAGUUUUUCUAACAUGGAUGAAAUAGCAAAAUGGAAACCCCGCUUCGUACAAAUGCCCAUGUAGCUUUUGUCCUUGACAACAAGGAUGACAUAAGAGUGGAGAUCCCUCAACUCCAUAAGCUCAGAACCCCUUUGUUCUACUGGGCCAUCCUCUUCUUUCAGCUACAAAGGCAGCAAAAUUCCAGCUGUCCCCCCCCCCCAUCUGCAGCCUGUCCAUUUAUUUCCCCUAACAAAAUCCCUUGUAUUUCAUAUUUGACUGGCUCUCUUAAGGGGACUAGUGGAUCCCUCGCCCUUGUGAAAUGUCCACUUAAUUAACUAAAAUUGUUCUCAUAGAUCAGCACUUCCCUCCUUGAACCGAUGCGUUUCCCUCGCUUUUCAUGGCUGAAUUGGCCUGGCCACAGCAAGAUCAGUUGAAAGAACAUAAAUUAUACUUGCAAACUAAAUGCUGCAAUAUUUUUUCCGCCUUGUGAGUCACUGGGGCAAGAUGAAACGUCUUGGCAUCACUUUGUCCAAACCACGCAGAGUUAGUCAUCACAAAGUAUGUCAAGUGAGCCACCUGGCAGACUGCAGGCCAGCAUACAUUAUGGACCUGAAAAAUGGAACACAGGAAAAGAGGCUCCAAAAUAUUGCCUGUGUGUGUGUGUGUGUGUGUGUGUGUGUGUGAUCCAAAAUACUGUGAGCUACAAACAUCACACCACACUGAUACUUAUCAAAAUGAAGGUGCAAUGGCCUUUAAAAGCAUCUAUCCCCCUCCAUGGCAC